rnacentral:hammerhead_ribozyme from 2 species
AUUCACCUGACGAGUCCCAAAUAGGACGAAACGCGCAUCAAACUGGAC